UGCCUACGGGGGGCAGCAGUGAGGAAUAUUGGUCAAUGGGCGCGAGCCUGAACCAGCCAAGUAGCGUGAAGGAUGACUGCCCUACGGGUUGUAAACUUCUUUUAUAAAGGAAUAAAGUGAGGCACGUGUGCCUUUUUGUAUGUACUUUAUGAAUAAGGAUCGGCUAACUCCGUGCCAGCAGCCGCGGUAAUACGGAGGAUCCGAGCGUUAUCCGGAUUUAUUGGGUUUAAAGGGUGCGCAGGCGGAGGUGCAAGUCAGCGGUCAAAUUGCGGGGCUCAACCCCGUACUGCCGUUGAAACUGCAUC
rnacentral:rRNA from 1 species